UGACCUCGAAUCAGGUAGGAUUACCCGCUGAACUUAAGCAUAUCAAUAAGCGGAGGA
rnacentral:rRNA from 2 species